AAUUCAACCAUGCUCUCCAGCAACAAGCUUUUCAUGCUCUGCCUACACCUCAUAUGUUAGGCAUAAUCUAUUGGCCAUCCUCUCUGCAAUGGUCAUUUUACCAUAGCUAUCAAUAGCUAUAUUUGUUGAGAGAACAUCAGAAGAGACCAGAGUCUGAUAUUCCCGGUGUUCAGUCUGCUCAGAAUUGUCCAGUGGACCUGUCCUCAAUAUUCAGGAGAGUGAAAGUGGAGAGGUCAACAUCAAGUGAGACAGCAUCAAAGAAACCAGCGACACAGAUGCCUGCAGACUCAGAUUGGACCCAGUGACAGCGUGCACACUCCUCUUUCUGUAUGAGAACAGAAUAUUUACAUUGUUGGGAGAGGAGCAGCCAUAUCCUGACCAUCCAGAAAUGUUUGAGCACUCACAAUAUGCUGUGUAGAGAGUCUGACUGGAUGCUGCUCCUGGGUGACAGAGUGAAGAGGAUGGGCUCAUGUAGGAGUGACAUAUGAAAGAAUCAGAAGGAAAGGAGAGCAUGAUGACCAUCUCCACUAUGACGCAUCCUGGAUUCUUAAGUGCCCUGGUGGCAAUUAUACUGCCUGUCAUAAUAGGAAGAAUUCUGACAUGCAUGUCUUCUACUCUCGCUCCGACACAGUAGGAGUGUAUCUGGACAGAGUCUAUUGUAACACAUUGAUCCACCUGCACACAUAAUACCCGACAGUCACUGAGCCUCUCUACCCAGGGGUUUGGUUUGGCGUUCACUCCUCAGUGUCCCUGUGCCAAGUAGAACUCUGCGUCCUGUGUCCAGAAGGAACACCUUCAGGAAAGUUACACUCCUGUUCAAACACAACUGUGGGACAUGAUGGGGCACUUUUGGCUUUCAUCAUGGCAGACAGCGGAGCGUUGUACUUGUCUAGUCCAUUCAGUGCAGAUUUGAAUAACCCCUACAUUUUUCUAGAGACAUGGGUUGGACACGUAGCCUCGGGAAGUACGGGUGCUGAAGGUGCUGCAGCACCCCCUGGUAGUGAGAUUGUAAAACUGUAAGAAUUUGUGUCGCAAUAAAAAACGAUUAAACCAUUUUUCUGCUGUAUUAUUGAUAUAAAUAAUAAUUGGAUUGGGGUAGGGGAGAGAAAAAAACAUUUGAUAUUUAUAUAUGGGGCCCAUUCCGCAUGGAGAGCUCUCAUCUCUGUUUUGUAAUCGGUUUGCUCGUGAUAUUCUGGUGAAGCUGUGGG
rnacentral:lncRNA from 1 species